rnacentral:rRNA from 1 species
AGCGAACGCUGGCGGCAGGCCUAACACAUGCAAGUCGAACGAGGUCUUCGGACUUAGUGGCGGACGGGUGAGUAACACGUGGGAACGUGCCCUUUGGUUCGGAACAACUCAGGGAAACUUGAGCUAAUACCGAAUGUGCCCUUCGGGGGAAAGAUUUAUCGCCACUGGAGCGGCCCGCGUCGGAUUAGCUAGUUGGUGAGGUAAUGGCUCACCAAGGCGACGAUCAGUAGCUGGUCUGAGAGGAUGAUCAGCCACAUUGGGACUGAGACACGGCCCAAACUCCUACGGGAGGCAGCAGUUGGGAAUCUUGCGCAAUGGGCGAAAGCCUGACGCAGCCAUGCCGCGUGAAUGAUGAAGGUCUUAGGAUUGUAAAAUUCUUUCACCGGGGACGAUAAUGACGGUACCCGGAGAAGAAGCCCCGGCUAACUUCGUGCCAGCCGCCGCAGUAACAC